rnacentral:rRNA from 1 species
UACAGAGGUCCCAAGCGUUGUUCGGAUUCACUGGGCGUAAAGGGUGCGUAGGUGGCAUGGCCAGUUUGAUGUGAAAGCUCAGGGCUUAACCCUGAAAUGGCAUUGAAUACUGCUGUGCUGGAGGUUUGGAGGGGGGACUGGAAUUCUUGGUGUAGCAGUGAAAUGCGUAGAUAUCAAGAGGAACACCUGAGGUGAAGACGGGUUGCUGGGCCGACACUGACGCUGACAGCGCGAAAGCCAGGGGAGCAAACGGG